GGGUGUAAUACUUUUGUAGCUUGUUUUGCAAAGACAUGUUUGGCUGGUUAGCCUGCAUCUU
rnacentral:tRNA from 1 species